UACGAAGGGGGCUAGCGUUGCUCGGAAUCACUGGGCGUAAAGCGCACGUAGGCGGCUUUUUAAGUCAGGGGUGAAAUCCUGGAGCUCAACUCCAGAACUGCCUUUGAUACUGAGAAGCUCGAGUCCGGGAGAGGUGAGUGGAACUGCGAGUGUAGAGGUGAAAUUCGUAGAUAUUCGCAAGAACACCAGUGGCGAAGGCGGCUCACUGGCCCGAUACUGACGCUGAGGCACGAAAGCGUGGGGAGCAAACAGG
rnacentral:rRNA from 1 species